ACUACAUAUCAAUAAGCGGAGGAAAAGAAACUAACAAGGAUUCCCCUAGUAACUGCGAGUGAAGCGGGAAAAGCUCAAAUUUAAAAUCUGGCAGUCUYUGGCUGUCCGAGUUGUAAUCUAGAGAAGUAAUGCCCGUGCUGGACCGUGUAUAAGUCUCCUGGGAUGGGGCGUCAUAGAGGGUGAGAAUCCCGUCUUUGACACGGACUACCAGUGCAUUGUGGUAUGCUCUCAAAGAGUCGAGUUGUUUGGGAAUGCAGCUCAAAAUGGGUGGUAAAUUCCAUCUAAAGCUAAAUAUUGGCGAGAGACCGAUAGCGAACAAGUACCGUGAGGGAAAGAUGAAAAGAACUUUGGAAAGAGAGUUAAACAGUACGUGAAAUUGCUGAAAGGGAAACGCUUGAAGUCAGUCGCGUUGGCUGGAAAUCAGCCUUGCUUUUGCAUGGUGUAUUUUCUGGUUGACGGGUCAGCAUCAAUUUUGACCGCUGGAAAAAGGCCUGGGGAAUGUGGCAGCUUCGGCUGUGUUAUAGCCCCUAGUCACAUACAGUGGUUGGGAUUGAGGAACUCAGCACGCCGCAAGGCCGGGUUUCGACCACGACCGUGCUUAGGAUGCUGGCAUAAUGGCUUUAAGCGACCCGUCUUGAAACACGGACCAAGGAGUCUAACAUGCCUGCGAGUAUUUGGGUGGAAAACUCAAGUGCGUAAUGAAAGUGAAAGUUGAGAUCCCUGUCGUGGGGAGCAUCGACGCCCGGACCAGAACUUUUGGGACGGAUCCGCGGUGGAGCAUGUAUGUUGGGACCCGAAAGAUGGUGAACUAUGCCUGAAUAGGGUGAAGCCAGAGGAAACUCUGGUGGAGGCUCGUAGCGAUUCUGACGUGCAAAUCGAUCGUCAAAUUUGGGUAUAGGGGCGAAAGACUAAUCGAACCAUCAAUGCAGC
rnacentral:rRNA from 1 species